rnacentral:lncRNA from 12 species
GGUGACAUUUUUGACUGCUUUAUUUCCAGCAGAAUUGGCUGCUUGAUCCAGUUUCACCCAGGGUCCCAUAUCAGUGGAAAUCACAGGAAGACAAGGAAAAGCAACGAGCAGGGAUGUGGCGGGGGAAGCUCCUCUCAAGCCUCAUGAAGGUAGUUUUAAACCAUCCCCAGGAAUUUUAUGAACCAGCAGGAAGGAGAAAGACAAGGCAGUGCCUGAGCUCCAACUUUGAAAAUGUCAUGGUGGAUUUAGGCCCCCUAGUCUCUCAUUAAACAAGUGAAACACCUCAACCAGGAGGUCUCAG